rnacentral:lncRNA from 1 species
CGGAAUGUGGAAAAGCCUUCUGCCAGAAGCCACACCUUACCAACCAUCAGCGGACACAUACGGGAGAGAAACCCUAUGAGUGCAAGCAGUGCGGGAAAACGUUCUGUGUCAAGUCAAACCUUACUGAACAUCAAAGAACACACACUGGGGAGAAACCCUAUGAAUGCAAUGCAUGUAGGAAAUCCUUUUGCCACCGGUCAGCCCUAACCGUCCAUCAGAGAACACAUACAGGAGAGAAACCAUUUAUAUGCAAUGAGUGUGGGAAGUCAUUUUGUGUGAAGUCAAACCUGAUUGUACAUCAGAGAACUCACACGGGGGAGAAACCCUAUAAGUGCAAUGAGUGUGAGAAAACCUUCUGUGAAAAGUCAGCUCUUACUAAACACCAGAGAACUCACACUGGGGAGAAACCCUACGAGUGU